GCCUUUGUGGCGCAAUUGGUUAGCGCGUGAGACUUUUAAGCAAUUGCUUUGGUCACUCACCAAUCUCAAGGUUGCGGGUUCGAGUCCCGCCAAAGGCU